rnacentral:tRNA from 1 species
GUAGAUUAGUUGGUAAGGCGCUCGUCUUGCACACAAGAGUCGUGGAUUCGAAUUCCACC